rnacentral:ncRNA from 1 species
AAGCUAGGGGUGCCUUAUAGAGGCUGAGAGAAGAGGACAACUCUUUGACCCUUUGAACCUGAUCUAGUUUAUACUAGCGUAGGGAAGCGGUGCAAU